rnacentral:rRNA from 1 species
UACGAAGGGUGCAAGCGUUACUCGGAAUUACUGGGCGUAAAGCGUGCGUAGGUGGUUUGUUAAGUCUGUUGUGAAAGCCCCGGGCUCAACCUGGGAAUGGCAAUGGAUACUGGCAGGCUAGAGUGCGGUAGAGGGUAGUGGAAUUCCCGGUGUAGCGGUGAAAUGCGUAGAGAUCGGGAGGAACACCGGUGGCGAAGGCGGCGAUCUGGGUCGAUACUGACGCUGAGGUGCGAAAGCGUGGGGAGCAAACAGG